GAUGAACGCUGGCGGCGUGCCUAAUACAUGCAAGUCGAGCGAACGGACGAGAAGCUUGCUUUUCUGAUGUUAGCGGCGGACGGGUGAGUAACACGUGGAUAACCUACCUAUAAGACUGGGAUAACUUCGGGAAACCGGAGCUAAUACCGGAUAAUAUUUUGAACCGCAUGGUUCAAAAGUGAAAGACGGUCUUGCUGUCACUUAUAGAUGGAUCCGCGCUGCAUUGGCUAGUUGGUAAGGUAACGGCUUACCAACGCAACGAUGCAUAGCCGACAUGAGAGGGUGAUCGGCCACACUGGAACUGAGACACGGUCCAGACUCCUACGGGAGGCAGCAGUAGGGAAUCUUCCGCAAUGGGCGAAAGCCUGACGGAGCAACGCCGCGUGAGUGAUGAAGGUCUUCGGAUCGUAAAACUCUGUUAUUAGGGAAGAACAUAUGUGUAAGUAACUGUGCACAUCUUGACGGUACCUAAUCAGAAAGCCACGGCUAACUACGUG
rnacentral:rRNA from 1 species